ncrna:unclassified sequences DTF3800-X RNA
UAGGGGGUAAGGUCGGCGAUAGCCCCUCCGUCCGAAACGAUGAGGCCCGCGUAAGCGGGGUGGGAUGGAGUAGGAUGGGGCCCCUU